GCUCAACCGUGGAGAUGCACUGGAAACUGGGGAGCUUGAGUGCAGGAGAGGGAAGCGGAAUUCCACGUGUAGCGGUGAAAUGCGUAGAGAUGUGGAGGAACACCAGUGGCGAAGGCGGCUUCCUGGCCUGUAACUGACGCUGAGGCGCGAAAGCGUGGGGAGCGAACAGGAUUAGAUACCCUGGUAGUCCACGCCGUAAACGAUGAGUGCUAGGUGUUGGGGGUUUCGACACCCUCAGUGCUGAAGUUAACACAUUAAGCACUCCGCCUGGGGAGUACGGCCGCAAGGCUGAAACUCAAAGGAAUUGACGGGGGCCCGCACAAGCGGUGGAGCAUGUGGUUUAAUUCGAAGCAACGCGAAGAACCUUACCAGGGCUUGACAUCCCGGUGCCACCUCCAGAGAUGGAGGGUUCUCUUCGGAGACACCGGUGACAGGUGGUGCAUGGUUGUCGUCAGCUCGUGUCGUGAGAUGUUGGGUUAAGUCCCGCAACGAGCGCAACCCUUGACCUUAGUUGCCAGCAUUCAGUUGGGCACUCUAAGGUGACUGCCGGUGACAAACCGGAGGAAGGUGGGGAUGACGUCAAAUCAUCAUGCCCCUUAUGUCCUGGGCUACACACGUGCUACAAUGGGCAGUACAAAGGGUUGCGAACCCGCGAGGGGGAGCUAAUCCCAAAAAGCUGCUCUCAGUUCGGAUUGCAGGCUGCAACUCGCCUGCAUGAAGCUGGAAUCGCUAGUAAUCGCGGAUCAGCAUGCCGCGGUGAAUACGUUCCCGGGCCUUGUACACACCGCCCGUCACACCACGAGAGUCUGUAACACCCGAAGUCGGUGAGGUAACCCUCUGGGAGCCAGCCGCCGAAGGUGGGACAGAUGAUUGGGGUGAAGUCGUAACAAGG
rnacentral:rRNA from 1 species